rnacentral:rRNA from 1 species
AUUGAACGCUGGCGGCAGGCCUAACACAUGCAAGUCGAGCGCGCGGCGGCCGGGUGAGUACUGUCUGGGAAACUGCCUGAUGGAGGGGGAUAACUACUGGAAACGGUAGCUAAUACCGCAUACCAUCAGAUGUGCCCAGAUGGGAUUAGCUAGUAGGUGGGGUAAUGGCUCACCUAGGCGACGAUCCCUAGCUGGUCUGAGAGGAUGACUCGCCACACUGGAACUGAGACACGGGCCAGACUCCUACGGGAGGCAGCAGUAGGGAAUAUUGCACAAUGGGCGAAAGCCUGAUGCAGCCAGGCCGCGUGUGUGAAGAAGGUCUUCGGGUUGUAAAGCACUUUUAGCGGGGAGGCGGUACCCGCAGAAGAAGCAACGGCUAACUCCGUGCCAGCAGCCGCGGUAAUAC